rnacentral:rRNA from 1 species
ACACCGGCGGCCCGAGUGGUGAUCGUGAUUAUUGGGUCUAAAGGGUCCGUAGCCGGUUUGGUCAGUCCUCCGGGAAAUCUGAUAGCUCAACUAUUAGGCUUUCGGGGGAUACUGCCAGACUUGGAACCGGGAGAGGUAAGAGGUACUACAGGGGUAGGAGUGAAAUCUUGUAAUCCCUGUGGGACCACCUGUGGCGAAGGGGUCUUACCAGAACGGGUUCGACGGUGAGGGACGAAAGCUGGGGGCACGAACCGGAUUAGAUACCCGGGUAGUCCCAGCCGUAAACGAUGCUCGCUAGGUGUCAGGCAUGGCGCGACCGUGUCUGGUGCCGCAGGGAAGCCGUGAAGCGAGCCACCUGGGAAGUACGGCCGCAAGGCUGAAACUCAAAUGAAUUGGCGGGG